rnacentral:tRNA from 1 species
GCUGGAGUGGCGGAAUUGGCAGACGCGCAUGGCUUAGGACCAUGUGCCUUCGGGCGUGUGGGUUCGAAUCCCACCUCCAGCA